rnacentral:rRNA from 1 species
GAUGAACGCUGGCGGCGUGCCUAAUACAUGCAAGUCGAGCGAACAGACGAGGAGCUUGCUCCUCUGACGUUAGCGGCGGACGGGUGAGUAACACGUGGAUAACCUACCUAUAAGACUGGGAUAACUUCGGGAAACCGGAGCUAAUACCGGAUAAUAUAUUGAACCGCAUGGUUCAAUAGUGAAAGACGGUUUUGCUGUCACUUAUAGAUGGAUCCGCGCCGCAUUAGCUAGUUGGUAAGGUAACGGCUUACCAAGGCAACGAUGCGUAGCCGACCUGAGAGGGUGAUCGGCCACACUGGAACUGAGACACGGUCCAGACUCCUACGGGAGGCAGCAGUAGGGAAUCUUCCGCAAUGGGCGAAAGCCUGACGGAGCAACGCCGCGUGAGUGAUGAAGGUCUUCGGAUCGUAAAACUCUGUUACUAGGGAAGAACAAAUGUCUAAGUAACUAUGCACGUCUUGACGGUACCUAAUCAGAAAGCCACGGCUAACUACGUG